GUGAGAAGGAUGGAGGUAGGGUGAUGAUUCCUUCCCAAAGCAAAGAACUGAGGUGCAUUAAGGACAGGUUGAGCAUUAGGAGAAAAAAAAAUAAAAAAACCUUCAGCAUCAAGGUGACCUUCAGCAAGAGGAUGAACUUCCUCAGUCCACCCUAGUGCUGAGCACACACAAGCCUUAUCUCUGUGCUGGGCCCCAUCCCAGCGGCUACAGGGUGGGAUGAUGAGGCAGGAGAUGUGAAACCACAUCUCGAUUUGUGGGUAACCACAGGAAAUUAUUUCCCUUCCACCUUCUGUCCUAUCCUCCCCACCUGCCUCAGAAGAGGCUGUGAAGCUUAUUUCACUCCGGAUUGCAAAGUGCUCGGGAAAGUUCAAGUGAAAGACAGCACGGAGCUAUUAUUGUUGCUGAUCUUUUAUUUCUCUCUGCCAGUCAAUUAAGGGGGAAAACUUGACAAUCAGAAGUUAUUCACUGUGCUAUAUAACAGCCUCUUGUAGGGUAUAUCUUCCCCGGGAAGGAAACAAGAGCUGCCUGUUUAUGAGAAGACUGGAAAUAUCAGACAAUAAAAGAGAAGCAUCUCUGCGCAUUGCUGACCUGGCCUGUCUCCCACCUGGUGCCCUCAUGCAUAUUUGCUCGAAGCGAUCGCAAAGUGGGUGCAAAGUGCUGUUCUGGCAGGGUCUCCGCGCUGGCUGGCGCGGCACUGACGUCAAGGCGGCGGUGAAUCAGAAAAUGUGGGGCUCUUCUGCAUCUGCAGGCAAGCCCAGGUGGGACAAGGUGGCAUCUGAAGGGCUUUAAGGCUCCCAGCCCAAAAACCUGGUGCUGGGGAAUGGGGGGAAUGCAGCUUGUGCUGCUGCGGUGAUAUGGGACUUGCCAUGGGGUUGGGUUGGAAUGGAAGGGUUGGAGAUGUUGUUCAGCUUUUUGUCCCCAUUCAUUGGAAAAAGUUGGAAAGGAAAGGAAAGGAAAGGAAAGGAAAGGAAAGGAAAGGAAAGGAAAGAGAAGAGAAGAGAAGAGAAGAGAAGAGAAGAGAAGAGAAGAGAAGAGAAGAGAAGAGAAGAGAAGAGAAGAGAAGAGAAGAGAAGAGAAGAGAAGAGAAGAGAAAAAAGAAAAGAAAAGAAAAGAAAAGAAAAGAAAAGAAAAGAAAAGAAAAGAAAAGAAAAGAAAAGAAAAGAAAAGAAAAGAAAAGAAAGAAAAAGAGACAAAUUCAAAGAAGUUCAAAAAACAAAACAAAACCAACAAAUAAAUAAAAAAUAAAAAUAAAAUAAAAUUAAAAACA
rnacentral:lncRNA from 1 species